CUUGCAUACCUAUAAGAGGUCCAGCCUGCCCAGUGACUCUGUUCAACGGCCGCGGUAUCCUAACCGUGCGAAGGUAGCGUAAUCACUUGUUCUUUAAAUGAGGACUAGUAUGAAUGGCAUCACGAAGGUUAUACUGUCUCCUCUUUCCAAUCAGUGAAACUAAUCUCCCCGUGAAGAAGCGGGGAUAACUUUAUAAGACGAGAAGACCCUAUGGAGCUUUAAACUAAGAAUCAACUGACUUUUCCACUUUUAAAUUCCAGAAAACUAACUUUUACCAAGACACUCUGAUUUCUAGUUUUAGGUUGGGGUGACCACGGAGUAAAAACUAACCUCCGCAAUGAACAGGGAUCUUCCCUUAACCAAGGACCACAACCCUAAGAAUCAGCACAUUGACAUAAAUUGACCCAAAAAUUUGAUCAAUGAAC
rnacentral:rRNA from 1 species